rnacentral:lncRNA from 7 species
AAAAUUUGAGGGAGGGGGUGCAUGGCCUUCUUUGUCCCCCAUGCGGUUCCGCCCGUCUAUGAGACUAGCUUCCGGAGCUUACGCAAACUCUUUUAAAGCCUAGCCCUUGGUAAAUUUACAUUCCAUGACAUGACACUAGGCCACCAGAGACAUGGAUAUCCAUGAGGUACUUCUUCCCGUUAAUGAACUUGCUAUCACAGGGGAUCAGUUCUCUCUCUCUCGUUCAAAAACGUGAUAAGCCUCUGCACCUUUGAGUCAUCAAACCUGCA